GUAGUCUCGCACAGAUGCAUAUCAAUAAGCGGAGGAAAAGAAACUAACAAGGAUUCCCCUAGUAACGGCGAGUGAAGCGGGAAGAGCUCAAAUUUGAAAUCUUAAAGGGUUUCCCUUUACGAAUUGUAGUUUAAAGAAGUGUUUUCUGUUGAGGUUUUGGUAAAAGUUCUUUGGAAUAGGACAUCAUAGAGGGUGAGAAUCCCGUAUUUGACCUUUACUUUCAACUUUGUGAUACACUUUCAAAGAGUCGGAUUGUUUGGGAAUGCAGUCCAAAAUGGGUGGUAAAUUUCAUCUAAAGCUAAAUAUUGGCGAGAGACCGAUAGCGAACAAGUACCGUGAGGGAAAGAUGAAAAGAACUUUGAAAAGAGAGUUAAACAGUACGUGAAAUUGUCAAAAGGGAAGCGUUUGACACCAGUGUUGUUUUUUCCUGAAAAUCAAUUACGAAUGGCUUGAUUUUGUGUUGUAUUGACCUUAUCAGCUUUCUUCACUUUUUUCGAGUCUUUCUUAAUGCACUUUUCGGUUAACAAGUCAACAUCAAUUUCUUUUGUUGUAAAAGAGUAUUCGGAAGGUGGCUUUCUUUUCGGAGAAAGUGUUUAUAGCCCUAUACUUCUACAAUCGGAGAGAUUGAGGUCUGCAGCGUAGAUCCUUCGGGGUUAGAUACACUUGUGCUAAGUUGUAGCUUUUCAUAGACAACUUGUUGACUAUGUUUAGUCAUGCGGCUUACUCGCUUGUGCUAUUUUACCUACGCUUAGGAUGUUGAACUCUAUCACACACAG
rnacentral:rRNA from 1 species